rnacentral:rRNA from 1 species
UACGAAGGGGGCUAGCGUUGUUCGGAUUUACUGGGCGUAAAGCGCACGUAGGCGGAUCGUUAAGUCGGGGGUGAAAUCCUGGAGCUCAACUCCAGAACUGCCUUCGAUACUGGCGAUCUUGAGUCCGGAAGAGGUGAGUGGAACUCCUAGUGUAGAGGUGGAAUUCGUAGAUAUUCGGAAGAACACCAGUGGCGAAGGCGACUUACUGGACACGUAUUGACGCUGAGGUGCGAAAGCGUGGGGAGCAAACAGG